rnacentral:rRNA from 1 species
GAUUAACGCUGGCGGCGUGCCUAACACAUGCAAGUCGAGCGGCAGCGAGUUUUACACUGAAUUCUGGAAGCUUCUAGUUGAAAGAGAAGAUUUAUUCAAGAAUUUUGUGUAAAAUGUCGGCGAGCGGCGGACGGCUGAGUAACGCGUGGGAACGUACCCCAAAGUGAGGGAUAACGCAUCGAAAGGUGUGCUAAUACCGCAUAUGGUCUUCGGAUUAAAGCCUUCGGGCGCUUUGGGAACGGCCUGCGUAAGAUUAGAUAGUUGGUGGGGUAAUGGCCUACCAAGUCGACGAUCUUUAACUGGUUUGAGAGGAUGAUCAGUCAGACUGGAACUGAGACACGGUCCAGACUCCUACGGGAGGCAGCAGUGAGGAAUCUUCCACAAUGGGCGAAAGCCUGAUGGAGCAACGCCGCGUGCAGGAUGAAGGCCUUCGGGUUGUAAACUGCUUUUAUAAGUGAUGAUUAUGACAGUAACUUAUGAAUAAGGAUCGGCUAACUACGUGCCAGCAGCCGCGGUCAUACGUAGGAUCCGAGCGUUAUCCGGAGUGACUGGGCGUAAAGAGUUGCGUAGGUGGUUUAAUAAGCGAAUAGUGAAAUCUGGUGGCUCAACCAUUCAGACUAUUAUUCGAACUGUUGAACUCGAGAGCAGAAGAGGUAGCUGGAAUUUCUAGUGUAGGAGUGAAAUCCGUAGAUAUUAGAAGGAACACCGAUGGCGUAGGCAGGCUACUGGGCUGUUUCUGACACUGAGGCACGAAAGCGUGGGGAGCGAACCGGAUUAGAUACCCGGGUAGUCCACGCCGUAAACGAUGGAUACUAGCUGUUUGGGGUAUCGACCCCCUGAGUAGCGAAGCUAACGCGUUAAGUAUCCCGCCUGUGGAGUACGAUCGCAAGAUUAAAACAUAAAGGAAUUGACGGGGACCCGCACAAGCGGUGGAUCAUGUUCUUUAAUUCGAUGAUAACCGAUAAACCUUACCAGGUCUUGACAUCCUUGGAAUCUUUCAGAAAUGAGAGAGUGCUUUUUAAGAGCCAAGUGACAGGUGAUGCAUGGCCGUCGUCAGCUCGUGUCGUGAGAUGUUUGGUUAAGUCCAUCAACGAGCGCAACCCUUGUCAGUAGUUGUAUUUUUCUACUGAGACUGCCCCGGUAACGGGGA